rnacentral:rRNA from 1 species
AACGAACGCUGGCGGCAGGCCUAAAACAUGCAAGUCGAACGAACCUUCGGGUUAGUGGCGCACGGGUGAGUAACACGUGGGAAUGUGCCUCUGGGUGCGGAACAACGUCGGGAAACUGACGCUAAUACCGCAUAAUGUCUACGGACCAAAGAUUUAUUGCCCAGAGAUCAGCCCGCGUCUGAUUAGCUAGUUGGUGAGGUAAUGGCUCACCAAGGCGACGAUCAGUAGCUGGUCUGAGAGGAUGAUCAGCCACACUGGAACUGAGACACGGUCCAGACUCCUACGGGAGGCAGCAGUUAGGAAUAUUGGACAAUGGGGGCAACCCUGAUCCAGCCAUGCCGCGUGUGUGAAGAAGGCCUUAGGGUUGUAAAGCACUUUCGGCUGUGAAGAUAAUGACAGUAGCAGAAGAAGAAGCUCCGGCUAAAUUCGUGCCAGCAGCCGCCGUAA